rnacentral:rRNA from 1 species
CCUACGGGAGACAGCAGUGGGGAAUAUUGGGCAAUGGGCGCAAGCCUGACCCAGCAACGCCGCGUGAAGGAAGAAGGCUUUCGGGUUGUAAACUUCUUUUCUCAGGGACGAAGCAAGUGACGGUACCUGAGGAAUAAGCCACGGCUAACUACGUGCCAGCAGCCGCGGGAAUACGUAGGUGGCAAGCGUUAUCCGGAUUUACUGGGUGUAAAGGGCGUGUAGGCGGGAAAGCAAGUCAGAUGUGAAAGCCAUGGGCUCAACCUGUGGCCUGCAUUUGAAACUGUUUUUCUUGAGUACUGGAGAGGCAGGCGGAAUUCCUAGUGUAGCGGUGAAAUGCGUAGAUAUUAGGAGGAACACCAGUGGCGAAGGCGGUCUGCUGGACAGCAACUGACGCUGAGGCGCGAAAGCGUGGGGAGCAAACAGGAUUAGAUACCCCGGUAGUC